rnacentral:tRNA from 1 species
GGUUGCGUAGUGUAGUUGGUUAUCACACCAGUCUAACACACUGGUGGUCCCCGGUUCGAGCCCAGGCGGAAUCA